UACGGGGGGGGCAAGCGUUGUUCGGAAUUACUGGGCGUAAAGGGCUCGUAGGCGGCCAACUAAGUCAGACGUGAAAUCCCCAGGCUCAACCUGGGAACUGCGUCUGAUACUGGAUGGCUUGAAUCCGGGAGAGGGAUGCAGAAUUCCAGGUGUAGCGGUGAAAUGCGUAGAUAUCUGGAGGAAUACCGGUGGCGAAGGCGCAUCCUGGACCGGCAUUGACGCUGAGGAGCGAAAGCCAGGGGAGCAAAGCAGG
rnacentral:rRNA from 1 species